rnacentral:rRNA from 1 species
UACGUAGGGCGCAAGCGUUGUCCGGAAUUAUUGGGCGUAAAGAGCUCGUAGGCGGCCUGUUGCGUCCGCUGUGAAAUCCCGGGGCUCAACCCCGGGCCUGCAGUGGAUACGGGCUGGCUAGAGGCAGGCAGGGGAGAACGGAAUUCCUGGUGUAGCGGUGAAAUGCGCAGAUAUCAGGAGGAACACCAAUGGCGAAGGCAGCUCGCUGGGACGGUACUGACGCUGAGGCGCGAAAGCGUGGGGAGCAAACAGG